UACGAAGGGGGCUAGCGUUGCUCGGAAUCACUGGGCGUAAAGGGCGCGUAGGCGGGUUCGCAAGUCUGUGGUGAAAGCCUCCAGCUUAACUGGAGAAGUGCCAUGGAUACUGCGCAUCUUGAGGAGGGUAGGGGCGUCUGGAACGGUCGGUGGAGCGGUGAAAUGCGUUGAUAUCGACCGGAACUCCGGUGGCGAAGGCGAGGCGCUGGACCCUUUCUGACGCUGAGGCGCGAAAGCCAGGGGAGCAAACGGG
rnacentral:rRNA from 1 species